GUCGUGAUGGUUCGACCUUCUUUUGAGCACGUACGCCUCGUCUCGCACAUCGGUUUUCUCGGUCUGAGCAGAGAAGUCUUACGUGCCACAAAACAAGGUAGAAGAAGAUGGAGACGCAAACGGUUUUGAGCAACAGAUUGCUAUUCAUUUCAAUCUUGCAAUUGAGGUUUGAGCCUCGAGAAUCAGUCUUGCAGAUCAAUUGCAACGGUGUGAUCAAUAGAUUGUUUAACGAAAAA